UGUGAAUUGCAUGUCGGAUUUGUGGUUGCAUCCCUUGUAUGCUGAAGGUGUGUCCAGUGCUGCAGUCACUUGUGCCAUCAGAUAACUAAUGACUGUUUAUUUGUGCCGGGUAUGGGAGCCUCAUUCCAGGUGCAAACAUCAGCUGUAACAAGGUUUGAUCUCCACCGUGAUGCUCACCAGGUAUUGUACCUACUGUGACAGAUGAGUCAGGGCUGUUGGGAGUUGUAGAUUGCCUUUUAAGUGCUGAGAGACUGUAUGUUAUGUAUGUUAAGCUAAUGGUGAUAAAGCAUUACUAAAUGCAGAACAUUUAUAUCUAUUAUUCUCUUAAUCUGUGUGUAUAAAGUAAUAUAAGAUAAUUUGUUGAUAGCAUCUUUGUAAAUCUCAUUAAGCUUGUGUUCUGUGUAGAUACUUAGUUGUAAAAAGUCAUAUCUUUGGAAAGACAAUCCUUGUACACCUGUGAGCUCCCACUACUGCUGUUGCGUGGAAUAUCUGUUUAUUCCUAAGUUUUCUUGAUGAUUAUCUAGAAAGCCAGUUCAUAACAACCCUUACAAUAAUUUUUGUGGGCCAUCAAUAAUGUUUUAAGUUUUUAAUUUACGUCCAUACAUGUAUGUUUGGUUUUGGCUUUUCUGUUACUUGUAUUAAAAAAAAUAAUCCUGCACUGAGUA